rnacentral:rRNA from 1 species
UAGCUACAGGCUUAACACAUGCAAGUCGAGGGGCAGCAUGGUCUUAGCUUGCUAAGGCCGAUGGCGACCGGCGCACGGGUGAGUAACACGUAUCCAACCUGCCGUCUACUCUUGGACAGCCUUCUGAAAGGAAGAUUAAUACAAGAUGGCAUCAUGAGUCCGCAUGUUCACAUGAUUAAAGGUAUUCCGGUAGACGAUGGGGAUGCGUUCCAUUAGAUAGUAGGCGGGGUAACGGCCCACCUAGUCUUCGAUGGAUAGGGGUUCUGAGAGGAAGGUCCCCCACAUUGGAACUGAGACACGGUCCAAACUCCUACGGGAGGCAGCAGUGAGGAAUAUUGGUCAAUGGGCGAGAGCCUGAACCAGCCAAGUAGCGUGAAGGAUGACUGCCCUAUGGGUUGUAAACUUCUUUUAUAAAGGAAUAAAGUCGGGUAUGGAUACCCGUUUGCAUGUACUUUAUGAAUAAGGAUCGGCUAACUCCGUGCCAGCAGCCGCGGUAAUACGGAGGAUCCGAGCGUUAUCCGGAUUUAUUGGGUUUAAAGGGAGCGUAGAUGGAUGUUUAAGUCAGUUGUGAAAGUUUGCGGCUCAACCGUAAAAUUGCAGUUGAUACUGGAUAUCUUGAGUGCAGUUGAGGCAGGCGGAAUUCGUGGUGUAGCGGUGAAAUGCUUAGAUAUCACGAAGAACUCCGAUUGCGAAGGCAGCCUGCUAAGCUGCAACUGACAUUGAGGCUCGAAAGUGUGGGUAUCAAACAGGAUUAGAUACCCUGGUAGUCCACACGGUAAACGAUGAAUACUCGCUGUUUGCGAUAUACUGCAAGCGGCCAAGCGAAAGCGUUAAGUAUUCCACCUGGGGAGUACGCCGGCAACGGUGAAACUCAAAGGAAUUGACGGGGGCCCGCACAAGCGGAGGAACAUGUGGUUUAAUUCGAUGAUACGCGAGGAACCUUACCCGGGCUUAAAUUGCAGAUGAAUUACGGUGAAAGCCGUAAGCCGCAAGGCAUCUGUGAAGGUGCUGCAUGGUUGUCGUCAGCUCGUGCCGUGAGGUGUCGGCUUAAGUGCCAUAACGAGCGCAACCCUUGUUGUCAGUUACUAACAGGUUCCGCUGAGGACUCUGACAAGACUGCCAUCGUAAGAUGUGAGGAAGGUGGGGAUGACGUCAAAUCAGCACGGCCCUUACGUCCGGGGCUACACACGUGUUACAAUGGGGGGUACAGAGGGCCGCUACCACGCGAGUGGAUGCCAAUCCCCAAAACCUCUCUCAGUUCGGACUGGAGUCUGCAACCCGACUCCACGAAGCUGGAUUCGCUAGUAAUCGCGCAUCAGCCACGGCGCGGUGAAUACGUUCCCGGGCCUUGUACACACCGCCCGUCAAGCCAUGGGAGCCGGGGGUACCUGAAGUGCGUAACCGCGAGGAGCGCCCUAGGGUAAAACUGGUGACUGGGGCU